rnacentral:rRNA from 1 species
CACGUAGUUAGCCGGGGCUUCUUACUCAGGUACCGUCCUUUUUUCUUCCCUGCUGAUAGAGCUUUACGUACCGAAAUACUUCUUCACUCACGCGGCGUCGCUGCAUCAGGGUUCCCCCCAUUGUGCAACAUUCCCCACUGCUGCCUCCCGUAGGAGUCUGGGCCGUGUCUCAGUCCCAAUGUGGCCGUCCGCCCUCUCAGGCCGGCUACUGAUCGUCGCCUUGGUAGGCCGUUACCCUCCCAACCAGCUAAUCAGAUGCGGGCCCAUCUUAUACCACCUCAGUUUUUCACACUGCGUCAUGCGCCGCUGUGCGCUUAUGCGGUAUUAGCAGCUGUUUCCAGCUGUUAUCCCCCUGUAUAAGGCAGGUUGCCCACGCGUUACUCACCCGUCCGCCACUAGAAUAUGACUUCUUCCAUUCUGCAAGCAGCUCUUCCGAUGUCUUAUCCCCGUUCGACUUGCAUGUGUUAAGCACGCCGCCAGCGUUCAU